AGGUGUAAGGAAGAGGCCAUGGGGUCGUUACGCUGCGGAGAUUCGUGACCCGGGUAAGAAGAGUCGGGUCUGGCUGGGUACUUUUGAUACGGCGGAGGAAGCGGCUAAGGCUUACGAUGCCGCUGCCAGAGAGUUUCGUGGACCUAAAGCGAAGACGAAUUUCCCCUUUCCGGCGGAGAUGAAUAAUGUUGGUAACAAUAACAGUCAGAGCCCGUGUGGGAGCAGUACCGUGGAGUCAUCCAGCGGAGAAACGGUUGUUCACGCGCCUAAUACGCGACACGCGCCGCUGGAGCUGGAUCUCACGCGCCGUCUAGGUGCCGCUGCUGAAGGUGGACGUGGAGGUGUCGGCUACCCGAUCUUACACCAGCAGCCGACGGUGGCGGUUCUGCCGAACGGUCAGCCGGUUUUGUUGUUUGAUUCUAUGUGGAGACCGGGAGUUGUUAGUAGGCCGUAUCAGGUUGUACCGGCGACGAUGGAGUUUGCCGGUGUCGGUGCCGGAGUUGUUACUAGUGUGUCGGAUUCGUCUUCCGUUGUGGAAGAGAAACAUUAUGGGAAAAAGGGACUUGAUCUUGAUCUUAACCUUGCGCCACCUAUGGAAGUUUAAAUUAAUGACGACGAUAAUCUAAUUUUGUGAGAGAGAGAUUAAGAGAGUGACAGAGCUAAUGGCUGAUUUUUGUAUAUAAGUUCAAAAGAAUUGAUUGCUUUUUUUUUUUUGGUAGCUGAAACUUUCUCUUGCUGUUUCUACCAUUUGUAACUCUAAAUCCUUU
rnacentral:misc_RNA from 1 species